AACAUGAGUGGAAGUGUGAUGAGUGAAGAUAGGAUUAGUGUGCUAAGGUGGUAGGGAACCAAGCUUUAAUCAUGAAUAAUGCUUUGUCCUUAAUCAUUCUUCCAUUUCAAGACAAAGCUCAUCACUUCACUCCCUCACACUUCAAUUCUCGGCCUCCCCUCUCUCUCUCUAUACUCUCUUUUCCUCCAUUGAUGUCCAUUGAAGAAAGCUUAGAGAAGCUUCAUCAAACACUACUAUGAGAUAAUCCACCAUCCAAUCCAAUCAAAUACUAUCAUAUCUCAUCAAAUUCAAGAAGCUAGAGCUAAGAUCAAAGUUGGAGCAAAGUCUUGAUCACCUUUUAAAUCCUUGAGCUUUGUGAUGACCAGGAGGAUUAGCGCUACUUUUCCAAGACAGGUUUAUAUGUGUAUGAUCUUCAGGCUUUGCCUAUCCAGGUUGGCUGGCUGGUGCUGACGGGACGGAGCUGAGGCUAGAGUUAAAAUUCAUAUGUUAGACUUCCGCUGUAGCAAUUGCUCAUUUCAGUCUUUUGUUUUCCCAACUUAAGAUCUUCAUGUUAAAUUUCAAAUGAUAUAUUUGACCGAGCUUAGACUCUUCACUACUAAAUUUAUGUCAAUGAAUGUCGGUUGUCAGAAGCAUGAAACAAAACUUAUGAUCCAAAGGGGCAUAGCCCGAGUUUCUAUCCUAUUUCGGGUUUUAACAAGGUAUUUCCCUUGUUUAUU